rnacentral:rRNA from 1 species
AUUGAACGCUGGCGGCAGGCCUAACACAUGCAAGUCGAACGAGUGGCGGACGGGUGAGUAAUGUCUGGGAAACUGCCCGAUGGAGGGGGCUAACUACUGGAAACGGUAGCUAAUACCGCAUACCAUCAGAUGUUCCCCGCUGGGAUUAGCUAGUGGGUGGGGUAACGGCUCACCAAGGCGACGAUCCCUAGCUGGUCUGAGAGGAUGACCAGCCAAACUGGAACUGAGACACGGUCCAGACUCCUACGGGAGGCAGCAGUGGGGAAUAUUGCACAAGGGGCGCAAGCCUGAUGAAGCCAUGCCGGGUGUAUGAAGAAGGCCUUCGGGUUGUAAAGUACUUUAAGCGGGGAGGCGUUACCCGCAGAAGAAGCACCGGCUAACUCCGUGCCAGCAGCCGCGGUAAUUC